CUCCGUCAUCGUGUGUCUGACUAUGGUGAGCGUGUUUGGCUGCAUGGUGCUGACGUGUAUGGACCUGAGCCCUAGGACCUGAGCUCCAGGACUACCUGACAUGAUGACUCCUUGCUGUCCCCAGUCCACCUGGCCAUGCUGCUGCUCUAGUUUCAACUUCCACCUGACUGUGCUGCUGCUCCAGUUUCAACUGUUCUGCCUUAUUAUUAUUCGACCAUGCUGGUCAUUUAUGAACAUUUGAACAUCUUGGCCAUGUUCUGUUAUAUAUAUCUCCACCCGGCACAGCCAGAAGAGGACUGGCCACCCCACAUAGCCUGGUUCCUCUCUAGGUUUCUUCCUAGGUUUUGGCCUUUCUAGGGAGUUUUUCCUAGCCACCGUGCUUCUACACCUGCAUUGCUUGCUGUUUGAGGUUUUAGGCUGGGUUUCUGUACAGCACUUUGAGAUAUCAGUUGAUGUACGAAGGGCUAUAUAAAUAAAUUUGAUUUGAUUUGAUCAGACCAGGACUGUGUCAGAUACAGCCCUCCCCAGGACCACUAAUCCAUUGACCAUGCUAGUAGCACACAGUGUGAAAUGAAUCAUCCCAAUGUGUGUAUAUAUGAUCAUCACAUACUGUCCCUGCUACUGCUAAUAUGUAUCAGUAAAAGUCAUCAA
ensembl:lncRNA